GGCAACCGCACCGUCUACUACUUCGCACAGAGCGACAAGAUCGAACGAAGGCAACACUGCUGUGUGUAUGCUGCUGGUGCCAGACGAAUCUCCGACACGGUCAGUGGGUUAGGAAGCGCCGCGAAACUGCGAACGAAUCAUGAAUAAAGUUCCUUCAUUCGUUGGUCCUGUCCUGUCACUGCUUUUGAACGAUGCACGAAUACCCCCCGGGUGCCCCUUGCCUCCUGCAUCAACGAGCUAGCGCCACGCUAAAUACUGUUACGGUUGGUAGGUCAACCUUCGCGAAACCCGUGUGUCGAGUUAAGAGUGUCGAGUUUGUUCGUGUGCAAAAUACCGCGGCCGCGGUCACUUUCGGCGCUGUACACCUGGAACAUGAUCUUCAGCGAUUAUGCCAGAAAUAGGUUUCCGAUGAAACGAUCAGCACACAUGACACCGUGUGCACGUUGGCAGUGAUUUUUUCGGAGGGGUUUCGGAUCAGUGUCCGUGGUCAAUUGGUGUGAGAAAAUUACGGUAAGGAUAAUCUUUCCCUCACAUGAAGUCCCUGUUUUGACUAGCUUUAUCAGAGCAUAAGCCCAAUGGUAUAGCAUUCCCCUCUCGAGCUCCCGUAGAAAACUUUCCUAAUCUGUGAGAAACUAGCCUAAGGUAUGAAACACACACACCCCAAUACAUUAUUGUCGCGUGGGAAUAGGCGAUUCGUGACCGGAAAUCUGAACCACUUUUACCCACUGGCAGCCACCCAAUUCGUUUAGUCGGGGCUUUGCUCACUUCUUCGGCAUCAGCAAAACCAACGAGGAAGCUUCCUUCGUCCUCAGGUAGAUAUCAAAGGGAAGCAAACGCAAUACGAGACGAUCUGUUAAUGGACCCCCGGUCCCCGAUAUCAAGGAGCCGUAAUAAUCUCAUCUUGGCGAGAUGGCUAUCGUCGGAGCAGGUAGGACCGUAUCAUUGCGCCCCCGAAACGGUAGUAACGAUCAUCGAUUGACUCGGUACGUUACGUUUGUUUCGUCUUCCAAACACAGGUCUUAGCUCGGCAAUAAAUCAAUGAAUCAGGAUCGGAACCAUCAUUACGUCAACCCCUCAAUUACGCUAUUUUCUCUGUAUUCCCUCACCACUGACCAUUUGGCGCCCCGCCGAAU